CAAGGGCAGAAGUUUGGAGAGAAUAUAUGUAUUUUCACUGGUCUGUGAGCAAGUUCAUGUAGAGAACUUUUGAAAAGCAGAGUGCAAGUCUAUAAUGCACAUUUCUACAAAAGCAUUAUUUAGCUGAAUUAGGCUAUAAGAGCUACUACCCUGCCAUACACCUGCACAAGUGGCCAGCUUCUGUAUACCUGCUUCAAUGUGCUAUGAAAACAAGCAAAGAAUGGUCUUAUCCUUUAAUUCCAUAUUUGGUUUAAAAAGAGAUCAUUUUUUUUUAUUUAAAGAAUAGUCAGGAAUCUUUAUAAAAACUUAGUGCAGUUUUGAAACAUUAACUUAAAAUGUUAAUAAACUUAGGUUGUAG
rnacentral:lncRNA from 1 species